rnacentral:rRNA from 1 species
GACGAACGCUGGCGGCGUGCUUAACACAUGCAAGUCGAACGGAAAGGCCUGCUUUCCCUUGUGGAUUGCGGGUACUCGAGUGGCGAACGGGUGAGUAACACGUGAGUGAUCUGGCCCCAACUUGGGUAUAAGCCUGGGGAACUGGGUCUAAUUCCCGAUAGGACUGGAGGGUGGUGCCUGUGGUGGAAAACGAUGUUAGAGUGGAUGGGGAUGAGCUCGCGGCCUAUCAGCUGGUUGGUGGGGUAAUGGCCUACCAAGGGGGCGACGGGUAGCCGGGGAGAGAAUGUGGACGUGCACAUUGAGAAUGAGCAGCGGCCCAGAGUCCUACGGACGGCCGCAGCGGGGACGAGUGGACGAUGGGCGGAAUCCUGAUGCAGCGACGCAGGCUGGAGGAUGCCGGCCUUCGUGUGGUAAGCUCCUCUCGACCGCGAGGAAGCCACCUGGUUGGAAUGGUGGUGACGGUAGUGGUAGAAGAAGCACCGGCUAACUACGUG